rnacentral:lncRNA from 1 species
GUGUGUGUCAGUGUUCACAGUCCAGCCCUCCCUGAGGACCCACAUUUGGCUCGUAUGUGUGUGAGCACGUUGGGGUGCGCAUGAGGUAUCUCCCCAGUCUCUUCCCUUCUGUCACCCGAAUCAAAUGUAAGACGUCCCUCACAUCCUGAUCAUCCCAACUCUGCCUCCCAGGCCCUCUGCUGGGAAACCCAUAUCCGGAGUCCAUGCCCUGCCCCUGCCCCCGGCUGUGUAUUUAUAGAUGGAAAUAUACUUUAUAUUUUGUAUCAUUGUGCCUAUAGCCUCUGCCACCUUGUAUAAACCCUG